GGCUGCCAUGGCCGAGUGGUAAUGCUCAUGACUGAUUCGUCAGGUUGUGGGUUCGAGGCCCACUGCGGUCU